CGGCAACAUUGGCCAUUCUAUGUACACCUGUCGCCUUAGGAAACUAUGCAGUAUUUAGUUUUUUUUAUGUAUUAUUUCUUACACUGUUAUCCCAGGAAAUCUUAAGUCUUCUUACAUAUAGCCAGGAAGAACUAUUGGAUAUAAGAGCAACGUUAAUUUACCAACAUUACGACCAGGAAUACGACUUUCUUGAAGCGGAUCCUAUGUUUGGACCACCACCCAGGACAAUGGAUCGGAUCCCAGUAGGCGAUCCAAAACAACGGCGCCGCAGAAGGGGCAGACGGAGCGGUCUUUCGGUUUCCUUCUAGAGAGACAUCAGAGAUGGUAACAUUCUCUGUUUCACGGAAGCAUGGCUUACUCGGGAUAUGUUAUCAGAGUCGGUACAGCCACCCAGUUCCUUCACGCAUCGCGCCGACAGAAACAAACAUCUCUCUGGCCGGUGGUUCCUGGUCCCCUGGCUGAGGCUGUCCCCCACGACACCCCUCCGUCUCCCCUGGAUGCCCGAGGGAGGUCCCGUAAGAUUCCUACUGGACUCCCGACGUCGUGGGGGUGGGCUCCAGUACCUGGUGCAUGGGGAGCGGUACGGUGUUGGGUUCCAGUGGAGGACAUUCUGGAUCACAUCCUCUGUGAUUUCCCUUCGCCAUCAGGACUGGCUCGCUCCUCACCCUCAGGUCUGUCCCCCUGGCCGGCGUCGUCCUGUGGCUGGAGUCGCGCAUUGGGGGGGGUACUGUCACGUCUACGCCCACCCCCCUCUCCGGAGUUCGACGUUGCCGGUUUACUAAUCACUGGGUCAUGCAACCAUCAUUUCGGACAACUGGCACCAUUGUUACACGCACCAGUGCCUCAUUAUGAGACUCACCUGGACUCCAUCAAUUCACUGAUUACCUCCCCUAUAUCUGUCACUCCCUUAGGUUCAUUCCUCAGCCAGUAUUGUUUCUGUGUUUCAUGUCCAGACGCUACUCUUGUUCUGUAUCAUUCCAUGUUCUUUGCAUUAUUAAAC
ensembl:lncRNA